rnacentral:rRNA from 1 species
AGCAUGAACUUAGCUUGCUAAGUUUGAUGGCGACCGGCGCACGGGUGAGUAACACGUAUCCAACCUGCCGAUGACUCGGGGAUAGCCUUUCGAAAGAAAGAUUAAUACCCGAUGGCAUAGUUCUUCCGCAUGGUAGGACUAUUAAAGAAUUUCGGUCAUCGAUGGGGAUGCGUUCCAUUAGCUUGUUGGCGGGGUAACGGCCCACCAAGGCAUCGAUGGAUAGGGGUUCUGAGAGGAAGGUCCCCCACAUUGGAACUGAGACACGGUCCAAACUCCUACGGGAGGCAGCAGUGAGGAAUAUUGGUCAAUGGGCGCUAGCCUGAACCAGCCAAGUAGCGUGAAGGAUGACUGCCCUAUGGGUUGUAAACUUCUUUUAUAUGGGAAUAAAGUGCAGUAUGUAUACUGCUUUGCAUGUACCUUAUGAAUAAGGAUCGGCUAACUCCGUGCCAGCAGCCGCGGUAAUACGGAGGAUCCGAGCGUUAUCCGGAUUUAUUGGGUUUAAAGGGAGCGUAGGCGGGUUGUUAAGUCAGUUGUGAAAGUUUGCGGCUCAACCGUAAAAUUGCAGUUGAUACUGGCAUCCUUGAGUACAGUAGAGGUAGGCGGAAUUCGUGGUGUAGCGGUGAAAUGCUUAGAUAUCACGAAGAACUCCGAUUGCGAAGGCAGCCUGCUGGACUGUAACUGACGCUGAUGCUCGAAAGUGUGGGUAUCAAACAGGAUUAGAUACCCUGGUAGUCCACACAGUAAACGAUGAAUACUCGCUGUUUGCGAUAUAC